rnacentral:lncRNA from 1 species
AUUAUACAGACACUUAAAGUACAUUAUCAUUUACCAUUAGAUCUUUCUUUAUUUACCAAAAAGUUAACUAAACGUGUCUUGUGAAACGUCGACUCUUAGUUUUUGGUUUCUUCUUUUUCGAUUACAGACAAAUUUUGAUUUUGUUUGUUCUCAUCAAACACAAAAUCUCCAUUCAAGGUAGUUCUAUUCUACGUUUUAUUUCUCUUUUAUUAGAUUUUUAUUUUGUUUCUCUUAUUCUAGUUUAAUUCUCUUAUUCUAGUUUAAGUUUAGAACAUUGUUUUUGUGUGUAGUUUUUUUUAUAUCAAAUCUCUGGUCCUCCUUGUGAAGGCUGCAGCUGUGCUGGCAUUUUGUGCCAACCUCGAUUUCCAGGUAUAUUGUUUUUAUCUUUAAGUUUUUGUGUUCUUACUUUUUUUUGGAUCAUAUGUUAUUAAGAUUUUUGUGUAAACUAUCAAUUUGUCUAACCCAUACAGUUUCCGUGUGUAUUACGGUAUCUUGACCUAACCAAAUAACCACAAAUCUUUUAUUAUUGUUUAAAAAAAAAAAACUAAAAUGAUACGAUUAUCUUUUAUGAAAAUCAACAAAAAUUAUAAUAAACAAGAGUUUGUUUUAUACAAAUGUUUAGAGUUCUCUAGCUAUUUCAAAAAUAAAUAGUUAAAAACAUAUGGAAUGAUCGAUUGUGUGCAGGGAAUAUUCCUAAUAAUAUUAUUGCACUUGAAUUUAAAAUUUUCUUAGGUGGAACAUCUAUAUGUAUCUUCGUCGUCAUAUAUAAUAUAUUAUAUAUGCAUGUAUACACUCACCUGUAUGUGUAAAAAAAUUAUGUUAAAUGUAGCUCAAUUCUAGAUAAAAUACAUAUAUAAAUGGAUUUUGAGAAUCAAAUGUUUUCUUUUUUGUCAAAAGGGUUUCGACUUGCUCCGAGGAAAAGAAGUGAGAAUAAAAAAGGUGUUUUUUAGUUUAGGGUUUAUCAUUCUCCUUGACUUUGCAAAACGUGAAAUAUAAGGCACUUACAUCGUUGUACUCUGUUGCUUUUUUUUUAUAG